rnacentral:rRNA from 1 species
GACGAACGCUGGCGGCGUGCUUAACACAUGCAAGUCGAACGGUGAAGCGCUUUCCUUUUUGGUUGGUGUGGAUGAGUGGCGAACGGGUGAGUAACACGUGAGUAACCUGCCCCCUUCUUCUGGAUAACCGCAUGAAAGUGUGGCUAAUACGGGAUAUUCUGCGCCUGCUGCAUGGUGGGUGUGGGAAAGAUUGUGCCUUUGGGUGUUUUCGGUGGGGGAUGGGCUCGCGGCCUAUCAGCUUGUUGGUGGGGUGAUGGCCUACCAAGGCGGUGACGGGUAGCCGGCCUGAGAGGGUGGACGGUCACACUGGGACUGAGACACGGCCCAGACUCCUACGGGAGGCAGCAGUGGGGAAUAUUGCACAAUGGGCGCAAGCCUGAUGCAGCGACGCCGCGUGAGGGAUGGAGGCCUUCGGGUUGUGAACCUCUUUCGCCAGUGAAGCAGGCCUGCUCCUUGUGGGUGGGUUGACGGUAGCUGGAUAAGAAGCGCCGGCUAACUACGU